UACGGAGGGUGCAAGCGUUGUCCGGAAUCACUGGGCGUAAAGGGCGCGUAGGCGGCUCGGUAAGUAGGGGGUGAAAUCCUGCGGCUUAACCGCAGGGCUGCCUUCUAAACUGUCGAGCUUGAGCACGAUAGAGGCAGAUGGAAUUCCCGGUGUAGCGGUGGAAUGCGUAGAGAUCGGGAAGAACAUCAGUGGCGAAGGCGGUCUGCUGGGCCGUUGCUGACGCUGAGGCGCGACAGCGUGGGGAGCAAACAGG
rnacentral:rRNA from 1 species